rnacentral:misc_RNA from 1 species
AACCUAGCACACCUGCGGUGUGUACCUGCGGAAGGAUCAUUACCGAGUUUACAACUCCCAAACCCCUGUGAACAUACCUAUAAUUUGCCUCGGCGGACUCAACGACGGUGCUCCGAGAAAUCGGGCGCCGCUCGCUGCCAGAGGAACCCCAAACUCUAUGUAUUCUUGUGGAUCUUCUGAGUAAAACAAAACAAAUAAAUCAAAACUUUUAACAACGGAUCUCAGAUCGGAAGAGCACAC